AGGGAUAGGAGACCAGGUGCAUGUUGCGAACACUUAUUGUUACAGUGGAAGAAGGGGGUGGGGGUGUGGUGUCUAUAGUCAAAGAUUAAUCUCGAUUGGAGCCAAAUUUGACCCAGAGUCACCCACAACAAUUCUGCUGGACAUGUCUUCCCAGAUCUGAG